GCCUGAGAAACGGCUACCACAUCCAAGGAAGGCAGCAGGCACGCAAAUUACCCACUCCCGGCACGGGGAGGUAGUGACAAAAAAUAACGAUGCGGGACUCUUUUGAGGCCCCGUAAUCGGAAUGAGUACACUUUAAAUCCUUUAACGAUAAUCAAUUAGAGGGCAAGUCUGGUGCCAGCAGCCGCGGUAAUUCCAGCUCUAAUAGCGUAUAUUAAAGUUGUUGCGGUUAAAAAGCUCGUAGUUGGUUCUGCGUGCCACGCUGUCGGUUCGCCGCCUGACGGUGUAACUGGCAUGUCGUGGCAUGUCCUGUCGGUGGCGAACUAGGGUCACACUCGUUUUCCCCAUUCGGGCUCGUCUCGGGUGUAAGGAGCGGUGUGGUCACUCGGUUCGCCGGCUCUAUCCUGCCGCGGUGCUUUUAACCAAGUGUCGAGGUAGGCCGACACGUUUACUUUGAACAAAUUAGAGUGCUCAAAGCAGGCUUAAAUCUCUGCCUGAAUAGUGGUGCAUGGAAUAAUGGAACAGGACCUUGGUUCUAUUCUGUUGGUCUCCGGAACACAAGGUAAUGAUCAAUGUGGACAGGCGGGGGCAUUCGUAUUGCGACGUUAGAGGUGAAAUUCUUGGAUCGUCGCAAGACGCACUAGA
rnacentral:rRNA from 1 species